rnacentral:rRNA from 1 species
CGCGAAAACUUUACAAUGCGGGCAACCGUGAUAAGGGAACCUCGAGUGCCUGUACAUGCAGGCUGUCUGGGUGUCUAAAACACACCCAAAGAAAGGGCCGGGCAAGACCGGUGCCAGCCGCCGCGGUAAUACCGGCGGCUCGAGUGGUGGCCACUUUUAUUGGGCUUAAAGCGUUCGUAGCUGGGUUGUUAAGUCUCUUGGGAAAUCCGGCGGCUUAACCGUCGGGCGUCUAAGAGAUACUGGCAAUCUUGGAACCGGGAGAGGUGAGGGGUACUUCGGGGGUAGGAGUGAAAUCCUGUAAUCCUCGAGGGACCACCUGUGGCGAAGGCGCCUCACCAGAACGGCUUCGACAGUGAGGGACGAAAGCUGGGGGAGCAAACCGGAUUAGAUACCCGGGUAGUCCCAGCCGUAAACGAUGUGCGUUAGGUGUAUCGACGACCACGAGUCGUCGAGGUGCCGAAGGGAAACCGUGAAACGUACCGCCUGGGAAGUACGGUCGCAAGGCUGAAACUUAAAGGAAUUGGCGGGGGAGCACCACAACAGGUGGAGCCUGCGGUUUAAUUGGACUCAACGCCGGGAAGCUCACCGGAUAGGACAGCGGAAUGAUUGCCGGGCUGAAGACUCUGCAUGACUAGCU